rnacentral:lncRNA from 1 species
GUGGGGCUCCCCGGGUGGGAGGAAGAGAGGGGAGACUCGGAGGCUCUCCUGGCUGAAGAGCUGCGCGCACGGUGUCACACCCAGAGGGCGGAGCACCGCCGGACAAGCGCCCUGUGUCUGGGUCUGUUUCACCGCCAGGUCUGCGGCCGCCUGGGCGGCUCCAGCCACGGGACUCGAGUCAAUCACACAAUGGCAGAAACUCGUGUCAAGAGCCUGCAGCCCCCACACUGAUGGAUGCCUCCAAUCUCAGCAGCAGAAUGUGUACGGAAUCGAUGCCGAUGAAAACAGUUUCAGUAAAAUUACAAAAGAAUGAAAAACAUGGACAUUUGUUUAACUGUACUACAGGGGAAAAACAAAAAUCUGAUCAAAGAAUUAAGUUGGAUGAAUAGAGUUCAAGCUGGAGAACACCUUCUUAAAACAUUUUCAGGGUUAGUAUGUUUUGGUUUAAAAUGUUUGCAUUCAAAACAUCCUUCGGGUCAAAAUAUCCGUAGUGGUUAAAAUAUCCUGUGUCCCUCUGAUCUGUUUCCUAUAACUCCCCACCUUCCAGCCACACUGGGCUCUUUCUGUCCCUGGAGCACAGCG